GCUACUCGGGUUGUGACAGUUCCUGUUAUACAGGUUUUUUCUGUUUUAUUACAUCGACUAUGGUUAAAGUGUAUUCAAACAGGAUACUUAGCAAGCACACCAGAGAAGGAAAGAGCGACGUGGUUUACGUUUCACUAAGGGGAAACGUAAACUAGAGCGCCCCCUCUAGGUCAAGAACGGCAAUAGGCUGGCUGCUGCAAGAAACAAAAUGGCGUCUCUCUCAUUCAGCGGUCGAGGUGAUGGUGGUUCGCUGCUUGAAGUACGUCAAACCCGUCUUCAUGUCCAGAUAACGGGAUGCUGAAGCGACCAGGUCGUCUUCAUGGUAGCCAGAUAUCAGCAUUUUGUCAACUUGCUGACGGCGGUGCACAGCAACAGGUGAGAGAAAGUAAUGUGCCGUUGCUA